ensembl:lncRNA
CAGUACAGUGUUUCCUCAGUAGGCUCUGUGGAGAGUCUAAAGGAAAGGGAAUGCCAGGAUAAUCCAGACUGUUCGACUCCUCAGUCCCAAUAUGAAGCCAUGACAUCCACAGCUUGUGAUGGACUGGUCUGGACCUUCUGUGACAGUUCAGGAGGAUGGUGUUCUGGAUCAGCAUAAACCCAUGCCCACGCACAUGUCCCCUGAGGCCCGAGUCCCCGGUCACGGCAAGUGAGGAGGAGACGAGCGUCUGUGGAAGCACUGGUCGACUCUGACUGGAUGUCAGCAUUGUUGGUGGAGCCAUUUAAAACUGCAAUUUCCCUAGAGUUUGGGAUUCAGUGGGCCUGGGCUGAGGCUCCGGUUAAGAAGACUUCUUCUUACGGGACUGAGGAGGAGCCUGUGUGAGUUUCCUGUGGCCACUGGAACCAGUUACCACAAACUUAGUGGCUGGAAACAACACUGAUUGAUUGUCUUCGCUGGUGGAGGUCAGAAGUCUGAAAUGAGUCAGCAGGCCUGCAUUCCUUCCGGGGGCCCGGGGCCCCAUGGGAGAUCUGGUUCCCUGCUUUCUCCAGCUUCUAGAGCUCCCUGCAUUCCUUGGUUAGUGGUCCUUUCUUCCAUCUUCAAAGCCAGGGCUGUAGCAUCUCCCAGACUCUCUUUCUCUCUGAGUCUGGCCCCCACGCCUCCCUCCUAUAGGGACCCUUGUGAUUACUUUGGGCCCACCUAGGUAAUCCAGGAUAAUCUCCCCACCUCAAGAUCCUUAGUCACAGCUGCAAAGUCCCUUUUUGCCGUGUAAGGUGACAUAUGCACAGGCUGCAGGGAUUGGGGCGUGGACAUCUUUGGGGGCCUUUAUUCUGACUACCCGAGAGCAUAACAUAAGUUAAUUGUACAGCUCCACCCUCUAUGCCCUGCCAGCUGCAGACAUCACUAACGGCUCCACCGUACCACAGCCUUGGCCAAGGUUUCUGCUUUUGCGAGUGAGGAGGGCAAAAUAUAAGAGACAGAGAGGACUAGGGUGCCACAAAGGACCUUUUUGCUCAACCACCUUUGCCCUCCUUGAUAUCCGGAUAACUAAAUAGGGACUUUACCACAAGAACAGUAUCCUGUAAAAAGCCCAUUCUCUUUCCGGCCAAAUGAGGGGAUGUGCGUUCAAACUCAGUGAUUCCCCCAAAGCUAUGAACUUUAAUCUUUUCCUAACAACUGUGACCUACCAAUGCCCGUUGGUCAUCACAACCCUAACUGUGACCUCAGGCCCCACACUGGAGGGAAAGCGGGGCAUAGCUUGACCGCGGCCUCGGGCUUGCUCCAACGGCUCUUCUGCUCACGGUGGGGACAAGCACACCCCACUGUCUAGAACACUGUAGUCAAUAUGUAGCCUCCAGGGUCAUGCUGCUUCCACUCUACUCCCCACGUCUGACCACUCUGCUGUCAGGUCUCAGUCCCAGAAGACUCUCAGUGCUGCCUUGUCCCUUCCUCCUCUGCAGCGUAGCCUCCCGACAGCCGCUCCCCUGUCCUCAGCAGUGCUCUGCUUCCCUGACAACUUGCUCCAAUGGAGCCGGAUUUCACAUGCUGCUUCCAGGAGCUCCCAUCCACCUUGUGCAUGUGGCACGAGUCUUUCUGGUUCAGCACAUGUGCAGAGGUCUUUCCUUGUUCUGUAGCGUGCAUUUAGAAAUGUGACACAUGAUUCCACCAAGUCCCCAUCUGAGUGUUUUCAGGCACUCUGCCACAGGACCCAGUGCGUUGACAGCUCUGAAUCCAUUCAACGUUCUGAAGGUGUGACUCCGUAAAUUCUUUCUUAAAUCUCUUUUGCUUCUCUGCCUCUAAGCUUCCGAUUACUGCAACAUUUUGUGGUAAGUUCCACAGAUGGCCAAAAAGGCCCCUCUCCUGCAUUCCCCAGUAACGUACCUGGUUUCCG